rnacentral:misc_RNA from 1 species
CGCAGAUGCUGGCGAUCCUGGCGGGCGCGCUGGAAGUUGUCGGCGGACUGUUCAUCGCACUGAACUUCGGCACGCGGACCUUUGCCUGGCUGCUGGUGCUGUUCGUCGCGGUGACGACGUUCUAUUUCCACAAUUUCUGGGACAUGACCGGCGCGGAUCGCAUCAACAACAUGAUCCACGCGCUGAAGAACCUGUCGCUGAUCGGCGGCCUCCUGGUGAUCGCGGGCUAUCCGCGUCCGGUGGCGAUGGAAGACAGCGGCCGAUACACCGGCGUCUAGCUCCGCCGCCACGCC